UGAGAUCUUGAGACCCUUGGCAGGGAGGGGCUGGAAUGAUCAGGGUUCUCCCCCAGGAAAGAGAGACCAAAGGGCCUGGUCUAGAAGCCCUGGCUUGGUGGGGCUCCUUCUGGGGAGGUUCUUUUAUCUCACUCUCUCUUUCUUCUGUUUUCUUGUCACAGUCAACCUCAAGCAGUCCCAAAAUAUUACAUUCAUUUAUACUUUUCUGUAGUCCCCUCUUUUUAAAGACUUCCGGGGUUCUUGUUGUGUUGGUAAUCUUUUAUUCCAUUUCUUUUCUUUUUCACAUAUUUAUACGACCAGUAAUUUUCCAUAAGAACAUAAAAGAGGAAAUAUUUUUAACCAUUAGGUGGUUCUCUCUAUCACUUUCUUUUCAAAGUUCUUUUGUUUUUCAUUCUCUUUUCCAUAGUACUAACCAUAAUUUUUGUCCAUUCCAGAAAAGUCCAGCACUUUCUGGGGAGGUUCUUGAGGUGGUGAUUGGGUGUCAGCUGAACAGGAGAUGGAAAUGGGAGAGGGUCCCUAGAAAGAGAUGGAUUUUAGGGGAAGGCUGAUCUAUCUUUAUUCAAUUUUUCACAGAGUUCUGUGAACUGCCUGCUGACUCCGGACCAUGUAGAGGCAUCUUGCGUGCCUUCUACUACCACCCAGUUCAUCGUACAUGCCUAGAGUUUAUUUAUGGUGGAUGCUAUGGGAAUGCUAACAAUUUUAAGACCAUAGAUGAAUGCAAACGCACCUGUGCUGCAUGACCAAUGAGGAGACCCUCCUGGAUUGGAUCUACAGUUCCAACUUGACCCAAAGACCCUGCUUCUGCCCUGGACCACCCUGGAGACCCUCCUCCAAACCCCACCCUGGGCUCGUUCCUUUUUCUCUGCAAUAAAGCUUUGGUUCCAGU